AGUGAACGCUGGCGGUAGGCCUAAUACAUGCAAGUCGAGCGGAAGCACAGUAAGAGUUCGCUCUUACGGGUGGCGAGUGGCGGAUGAGUGAGACGUAGAUAGCCUACUAAUAUUACUUGGGGGACAACGUAAGGCAACUGACGCUACUAGCGCAUACAACCAACGGCAGGAUGCAGGAGUGAAUGACGCUUUGGGUGUCUCUUUUAGAUGAUGUCGGGUCGCAUUAGCUAGUUGGUAAGGUAACGGCUUACCAAGGCAACGAUGCGUAGCCGACCUGAGAGGGUGAUCAGCCACACUGGAACUGAGACACGGUCCAGACUCCUACGGGAGGCAGCAGUAGGGAAUAUUGCACAAUGGGCGAAAGCCUGACGGAGCAACGCCGCGUGAGUGAUGAAGGCCUUCGGAUUGUAAAACCCUGUUGUUAGGAAAGAAAAAAAGUGUAUGUAACCCUCGCUGUCUUGACGGUACCCAAACAGAAAGCCACGGCUAACUUCGUG
rnacentral:rRNA from 1 species